rnacentral:miRNA from 2 species
UCUUGCCUACACCGCCCAUGCC